AGAAACGGAGGCGGGGCUUGUGGAAACGGCUGCCGCAGGGUUGGCGGAUUUAGGAAGGAGCGAAGAUGGCGGAGUGAGACGUGCCGGUGAGAGCCGGCCGUUGGGCCGGGGGCGAAAAGGCCCCCGGUGUGUCCAGUGCUUCUGCUGGUCGGUGCGAGGAAGAACAUUUUCUUUGCUUUCCAGGUGCUUUUGUAUUCAUCUUAAGAAAGCAAAAAUCUGAACUCAGGAUUUGGCAAGUAUUCUGUGUUGUCUCCUGGAGUGGGUGGUCCUGCUCUCCAGCCACUUUCCCUAUUCUUGAAAUGUGGGAUCUCUUCUCUACACGUUUUACCUCCAUGAUUUGGAUUGGAAAAGGCUGCUUUUCUUUGUGUUCCACUUCUCUGAUUCAACAUUGAGAAGCUCUUAGGAUGCAGUUGGCUUGCCAAGUUCUCCAGGAAGAAAGAAGCAACUGACAUGCAUGUUCUGCUUUUUGCUUCAUUAUAAAGAAAUUAUUUUGGAAGCUGAGGCUGAUGUUUAAUUUGAAACAGGUGCUUAGAUGUCGGUGUUUAUGAAUUCUUUACCUUUUCUUCCAAACAAGAAGACUAAAUAAAUAGCAAGUAUGGAUGACAUCAGGUUGUUUUUUUUUUUUUUUUAAUGUCUUCCAGUUUCAGCCACUGUCAUAAGCACAAUUGAAUCUGCAAGGAGUAAAUUCCAAAUAUGUGUUCUUAUACGAAAUGAAAAAGAUGCUUAAAAACUACAGAUAUUAAAUAUCUAAAUUCUAACUCAUCCUUUGAAGUACAUUUGCUGGAAAAGAACAAAGGUCCAAUUUUGCAAUAAAACAUUUGAUGUUAUAAAGAAGCAUAAAGACAAGAUAAUGCAAGGUUAACAGAGUCCCUGUAAAAUACACAUGUUUACGUGUGUAAAUCUAUGUUUUGGAUGAGAAGAGGGAUUUUUCUCCUAGAGAACGAAGCUGUUGUUGGCUUCCUUCUCAGAAGUCUUUGGACAUUUCAUAUUUUUAAAUUUUUCAUUUUUCUAAGGAAGGACCACAUUGUACAUUUGCUUACCCUAUGAAUGCAUGCUUGGGUUUACUGAAAGUUUGGAAAAGGAAACAAAACAGCUUCAAGUCCAGUGAUGGAACCCUGUUCACCUCCCUCAGAUGAGAAGCUCCUAUAUUGCAAAUUACUUCAUUCUUUUUUGUGGACUCUUACAUAGCACUUGAGACUUGAUUUUCCAUGCUGCUUAAGGCAGGAACAAGUGUGGCUUAAGUGGUUUUUCUGUUUAGAAAAUAUGGUGGAUCCUCUAGUCUGACCUGCAUUCAACUUUGGGCAUGGAGGAACGGGGGGAAAAAAGAAAAGUUUCAAGAGAAUUCCUUUCUCCUGAUAAAAAGAAGCAAAAAUGCCUUAUGCAGCUCCAUCUGACUUUAUGGCAUUUUACAUUCUGUAGCUCCAGUUUUCUAAAAACAUAAAUAACUUUGUUCCUUUGACCCAAGAUGGGUACUCAGAUGUUUGGUUUAUUUUUUUAGGUGAGGUGUAAUGUUAGGCUGUAAAGUCUGGGACUCAGGUAACUUUCCCCAGUUGGAACUGAACUUUUUCAUCAGAGAAAGGACUUCAACAGCAGUGUUCCCAAAUUUCUGGUUGAUUUAGAAGAAAUUCGGGGUCUGGAUAAAACCUCAGACAAGAAAAGUAGUUCAGUAAAAAUACGGAUCUUCCUUCUCCUUAAAACUUACACCAUGUGAUGAACAGACUAUGGUGUGAAGCUAUUCUUGCUUCCAGAUCAACAGAGGACCACUGUAUGAAUUGUCAGGUCUUUAUAUAAGAAGAAGGAAACUAUGAGUCUUUGUGAGAAAGAAUUUGAAACUUCUUAGAUGCACUUAAGAACAAAUUGUCUUAGAUCAUAUCUGUGAUUUAGGGAAUUUGCCUAUGGUCACACACGCUGUGAUGCUAAAACCGUAGUGUAGAUUUACCAAAAUUUAGCAGUAAUAGAAAUGGCCAAAAACGGGAAUUGUUGAGCACUCUUAAUGAUUAGUUAAAUUGGUCAACCUAUUUGAAUUGGCAUAAGAAAGCUUUUUAGUAAAAUAAUUACAUAAUACAGAUAAAAUAUAAUUUCCUUUGAAGGCACAUACUGAGUGGUAAAGCAUAGAAGUAACUUUGGGUAAAGGUAACUUAAAUGUUUCUCUAAGUAACUUCUCAGCCAACUUCCUGAUACUUUCUUUUACUGUUUUGGAAUUGUUAAAGACAAAAAGGAACCUAGGUACAUGAGUCCCCAUUGGUGUGUUGAGAAUUUAUAUCUUUAGUUGUCUGUUACCCAUCUUCCCCAUGUUCUUUUUGCAGUGUGUUGGGUAGGACCAUUGGCAGGAGAUAGGGACUUAAUACUGUCAGCACCAGUGAAACCAUCUCUGGCCCAUUUGUUUGAGUAUGUAUCAGACUCCUCUUCUCCAGUUGCUUUGUAUUUUUUAUUUCACAGCUAAAAGGACCACUGUUGAAUGCUGUCGUUCAAAUUAUUCUUUGCAUCUUGAAUGGUUGUCAUCAGAUAGCAUCUAACAAAAUGGGUCUGUGCCAGUUGUACUAGCCCAGUGUUUACCUAAUACACCUACAUUUUCCCCCUGUUUUGUCCCCUUCUUGAUGGGAAAAGCUAAUUUUAGGCAGGUCUACACCUCAAUCAGUAGCUGUGCCUCCUUCUUCCCUUUGCUUAUCUAUGUCAGCUGGCAAUUUUUCUUUUGAAAAGUUAAAAACGGGAUAUGUGCAAUAGAAAUAUAUAUAUAUGUAUAUUUUAAUACUUGUGGACAAAUGUUACAAGUUGUUUAAGAACAACAAAAUCACCAAUGUCUUCCAUUUUGAGAUGUGUAUAGUUUUGUAAGCAUUAGUGCUUGGUAGCAUAUUGUAGUGUCAUGUUAGGGGUUAGUGCAUGAGCCUAGUAAUAAUUUAAACUUCAGGAUGAUAACCAAUAGUGUAAAAUGAGUGGAAAAUCGAGAACUUUUCUUUUUUCAUAAAUAUCGGAAUCAUGAUAUUCUCCCUGGGGAAAGGAGAUUAAGGCCAAAAAGACUUUAUGAAUAGGACUGUGGGACCACAGUGUAAAAUACUGUGUUUGAGAAUACUUAAGCUUUCUCUGAGGUAGCUGGAAACCAGCUGCCUUCGUGUCUUAUGAAACCUCAAAUCAAAAUGAGGCCCCAUUUCAUGAUUCUACUUUGUUCUCUUAGUUUGAGAUGAGAUUGUUUUUACGCUGUUUUCACACGGCGUGUCUUGUAGGUUUAUUAUUUAAUCCACUUUUGCAUCAAGAAAUUAUUUUUUAUUUUGCAUGUCUUACUGAGAUGCUGUGUUAGUCGAGUGCUUUUCUAAUCUGCAGACCAUUACCAUUUCCUGUCUGCGGCAUGCUGAUUGUUACCAAAGGACACUGGUCAGAGGUUCAGUGUCCUACGUUAAUUUGUCACGGGCUUUUCCUAUUUCACCAUCUGAAUUGUGUGUUGAUGGGAUCCCAGGCCUUUUCACAAGAAUUGGAAUGUAGCUAGACGGAGCCUAAGCAGGUUGCCAUGUAAUAACUAUCUAUUUUGCUUGGUUAGAGUGAGCCACCUCAGACAACUUUUACUUUUUCUGCUUGUAAAAAUAAAAGUUGUUUGUUCUGAAAGCGUAAGAUAGCUUUCCGUGGAAAAGAAAUUCCUACCUCUAAAAGCUGCCUUGAGAACUUGGAAAGGGCGGCUUUCUGAGGUGAUUUUUAAAUCUCAGUAUUAGGAGAGUUCAGGAUUUAUUGACGCAGAUUCUACAGUUCCCGUGAUAGGAAAUGCAAAACUAGUGUGGUGUGUCUCAGGACACAAGCCAGCUUAAACAAAUAGUCUCUGCAGCGGCAGAUAUCCAGGGACCCAGGUUUAGAUUCUCAUAGUGUACUUCAAGUAUUUGUACUCUUGGCUCUAGUAGUUUAGUGCCUGGGAGAAUCCAUUUCCAAAAAGCAUUUAAAUAUUUUUAAAAAUACCUCUGAAAAGGUAAUGAAUGCAAAAUAGCACAGUAUAUAGGAAAGGAUCUUUCCUUUUGCAAAAAAAUAAAUAAAAGCCAUAAAACGAAUAAUAAUUUUCAAGAGGUAGAAUUUUAGUAGCAAUAACAGUUUUGCAUGUAUAGUAAAUUGUAUUAGCAAAGUUAUACAAUAGAGUAAAUAUUACUACUUGAGUUGGUGAAGCUCUGUGAUCAACGGAGUUGCACAAAAGGAAGAUGUUUUCGGCAAAGAACAUAUAAAAGGUACUUUAAAAACUGAAUGUAUAUGAAUAUAUCAUUGUGUGAGAAAUAGCAACUUUUGAGUAAGUUAGAGACCCUGUUUGUUCCUAAAGCAGAGGGUUAGAGCCAUUGAAUGAAAUUUUUCUAGUGGUUAACCUGGAAGCAAAUGUACUCCUACUGAUGUAGCCCCACUGAGGCCAUCGUGUGGGGAUUGUGCUUACGAUAUUUUUUUCAGCAACAGGCAUUUAUGGACUAGCAUACUUUGUGCUCUGUCACCUUUUCUUUUCUCCUUUAGUUCUCUGGGUGCAUUUUAAAAAUGGAAAAGUUUGUUGUGUAUGUGUGUUUGGGUUAAAAACAAACCAAGAACUUGGAUAGCUGGCUUUUCCUUAUGCCUGUGGUUAGCUUAGGGGUGUUAGAAUUUAAAGAUGUAAAGCAAAGGAUUGAAGGGAAUAGCCAGAGACAGUAUGUUGGUUUUAUAAACCUUGUCUGAUAUACAUGUGCUGGGGACUUUGGUCUGUGACUAUUUUAAAUAAGAGCCCAGCAAGCUAGUUUCUUGAUCUAAGGAAUCUCACAUCUCACAUCAGGUUAUAAUAGUGGGAUGGAAGGUGACAACUUUUUUUUUUUUUUUUAAAGAUUUUAAUUAUUUAUUUGACAGAGAUAGAGACAGUCAGCGAGAGAGGGAACACAAGCAGGGGGAGUGGGAGAGGAAGAAGCAGGCUCAUAGCGGAGGAGCCUGAUGUGGGGCUCGAUCCCAUAACGCCAGGAUCACGCCCUGAGCCGAAGGCAGACGCUUAACCGCUGUGCCACCCAGGCGCCCCUGGAAGGUGACUUCUUAACUCCCUUUUACCUUGUGUUCGUUUUGGCCAUUUAGCACCUUGAAGGUCCCUGAAAAGAUUGGGUCUGUGUUCCCGUUUUCCCAAGGAAAAAACUAAAAGUGGAGUGGAUUUAAGAAAAUAGUGCCUCUUGAAUAUUUAAUUCUUAUAUGGCAACUCCAGAGGAUAGGAAGAAGGCUCUUACAUUAAAUUGGUCAUAGCUCCUCUUUAAAUGUCCUACGCCAUCAGUUGGUGUUAGAGACAUUGGAAUAACCAAGCAAUAUUCAGUCAUCUGCAUGAUCAUGAGGACACCGCUGUGUAUUAUAGUGACGUCAACAGUUUAGUUACUUAAAACAAUUAAAGACUACCCUUAACAGCCACGUUAAUAGUUUUAAAUGCUAAAAUGUGCUACAAGUUUUUGUAGUCUCUAAGUAUGCGGUUAUUACUUUUCAAUGUUGUUGUGGUCUCAUGUUUACUUUUUGUGUACCUGUGAUAUGCAAAAUACGAAGAGACCCUUGGCCUCCAGGAGUUUACAUUCUCAUGGUGCUGCUGGUGCAAGCAAAUUGCUUCUAGUUUAUUCAGAACAUUGCUUGGCUGUUAACCAUACCCUAUUUGGAAGAAUCCCUUGGCCAAUAGUUUUCAAAAAGAAGUCUGUGCUAAAUUUCAGGGCAUUGAUUUUGAGUUUACAUUAUAUCAGCUCUGCUGUUCAUAAACUCCUUUUCCCCAGGGGGCUGUGCAGAUAAAAUUCAUUAAUGUGAAUCAGACACUAUUCUGCCUAAGAGCGUCUUCACCAUCUCUCUACCACCUAUGCUCUUCUGUGCUAUAGCUGUCAGUAAAUGGCCAAGAAAACUUAAUGCUCCAAAAGACUGUACAUCUUUGAAUUCUCUUUCUUUUCCCAGAGUUUUUACAUCAUUCUCUAUCCAAAAGGGCCAGGAUUCGCAAUUAAGCCUUUUGUAACUAAGUAGUGGUCCUGAUUUUAGCCUUUUUGUGUGUGACUUUGUACCUCUAUUCUGAAGCAGCGUUGUGAUGUGGAGCACCUGCCCUGCCUGCAUUUCUAAGCAAUCACUUUAUUAACCCACAUUUUCAGUUGAAACUUUGCAUGUAUCUUUGUUGUUUCCCCUAAUUCCUCUGAAUCAGGGGGUCUUUUCUGCAUGUUUAUUAAAACUGGGUCUGCAUGAAAGUGCAAGCAAUAGUGGCAGGCCCAGAGCUCUGAUUUUAGAGGACUGAUAUUCUAAUGCGUGAUUGAACAUGUCCAGUGUUACGUGGUGACUAGUAGAUAUAUAUACAUAUGCAUUUAUUAAUGAAGCAAUAGAGACUUGAACCAAUAGCCUGAAUUUACUGUUUGGAUUAUUAGUUUUCAUUUUCUAAUUAAAGAUUAUCUUAACUUCCAUUGAAAAUGGGAGCUAGAAGAUAAACAGGGGCAACCACAAGACAUUCACACUAUCAGGAAUAGAGAGCAUGACAGUGCUCACCCUCUAACCUUUGCCUGGUUCCAUUAGUCCCCAAGCAUGUUUAAAAACAAAACAAAGGCACAAACUAAGCAUGUUGAAUAAAUAAGCUGCUAUGGCUAUAAUAAUCAGAAAGAUGCAGAGUUUCAGAAAGGCUAGGAAAGUAGGAAAUUACCGGUGUAGAGUAUAUAAAAUAACUAAGUAUGGGGUUUAUCUGAUAAAAAUUACGUGGCUUAAGUUUGGAUCUCUUAAAACUAGUAUCUUGAAAGGAAUGGAAGCAAUAUGCAUAUAGUUCAGAUGUUCCAGGAUUUUUAGAUAACCAGCCAACUCUUCUGGAUGGUACUGGUACUGAUCAGCCAUAAUGGUUCCCUGCAGCAAAGGAGACCGCUGCAUUUUGUGGAAACAGUGCUAAAAAUACAAAUCUGUGGUUUGGGUUCUCUUUUGUUAUUGUAUUAUAUAAAUGUUUUGUUUUUAAAUUCUUAUAGCCAGGGCUUUAUCCAUGAUAUUGCUCAGACUGCAUAAUUUAUUGCCUAAAGCUUUUGAUGCCAGGUAAACAGGAGCAGGUUUUCCCACUUUUGGAAAAAAGAAAAACCUUGCCAUUUAUUUCUGUACUUGUUGAAGAAAAUAGAUCAGUUUAUUGUGGUAGCUUAAAAUUUUUGAGAUGUCCUGACUUUGAAAUAACCCUGUUAAGUGCAAAUGAUCAUGACAAAUGAUAUACAAAUGGAAUUCAUAGGUGAGUGGUAUAAACAGAAGAGAAUUCAGAGUUAGACUAGAUGAUUCUCACUAGGCCCCUCCCAGGUUUCGUGUUCUAUGAUUGAAAAGUAAUUUUUCUUAAGUCACCUUAACCUGUUUUCUUUGCUGUGGGAUUUCACUCCAAAUGCCUUGGGGAAGGUUUUAAGUGUAAGUGGUAGCUUUCCAGUAGUUCAGAACUGAAUUAGACUUAAGAGUCAUUGCAGUGUUUAGUCUCCACUUAAGUACAGGAAGUGAGAUAUCAUUUCCCAUUUGCAAAUUUUCUCCUUGUCACUUAUUGACUGCCUCUGCCAACCAAUGAAACCAGUAAAGAUAUAAGGAAGGAGUUUCUCUCAACUCUGUCCCAUUAUUCCACAAAAGCAUGUAGUUAAAAAGCCGAACCUCACAGAUUUCUCUAGGAACUUUUACUCCUAAACCUUUAAAAUCAAAAUAGAUAUCGUAAGGCUACAAUUUUCAAAAGUUUUGUCUCCCUUGGUGAUAGUAAGCCAUGCCAUCAAUUUUCCUCCCAGGGAUAAAAACUGUAUUCUGGCAAUACAUUAUCGUCAGUCCUUAAAUAACAGUAGUAGUCUUGGCACUUACCUUAAAACCACCCAUCACUUACAGAGUCAUAUUAGAGUAUCAUUCACGUAUUUUUAUUUACUGUCCUAUAAGUACAGUUGUUGCUCUAUGUUUUUACUAGCUGUUCUGUAUUUUCUUCAUUGCAUCAUUGGUAUAUAAUGUAAAAAAGAAUUUCGUUGAAUGUUUAUAAAGUAUUACAAAAGGCAGCUUUUUAAUCUAUGCAUCCUUGGAAUUUCAGAAAUUUUAUUCUUUGAUGUAAAAGGGAACUGCUAUACGAGUUGGAAACUCUGCACCCCUGUGCGCGCGCGUGUGUGUGUGCAUAUUUUGGCAAUAAAGCAGCAUGGGCUGAGAAUGCACGGAAA